GUGACAGAUGACCAAACGCAGAUGCCCAUAUUUCUAGUCUUCCUCCUUUCCCAUAAAACCCAAUCGCAUUUGUCCGCCGUAAAAGGAAUCAAGGACGGGAAUGGGUGCGUCGGCGCUGAUGAUACCGGCCGCCGUAGUGACGAUGAUUCUGCUGCUCCAUAUUCCAAGUAGUUGCGAUGCUCUUACCACUUUCCAACCACUUCUCAGCAACCACAGUUCAUAUGGUGGAAAAUUGAUGAUGGGAGAAGAAGAUAUGGAGUUGGAAUUUCUAAUGGAAUCACACAUAAGCCGGAUUCUAGCGUCAUCUAAAAACUACCAAACCGCCUCCACUACAAACGCUAACAAAGCUUCUGGGGGCGGUUGUGACCGACCACCGCGCUACGACAGUUGUCUCGGCAAGAAAAGAAAUAAUCCCCCGCCUCCAAACUGUAGCCCCUACAAUCGAGCAAAUCCCUGUUAGAAAAUUUUAAUUCACACCUUCUCUAUUAUUCACUUCUUUUCUUUUCUUCUUAUAACUAUAUAAUUUCUCACUCAAAUCUUUACCCUUAAUAAUGCAAAAUAUUGUACUCUUCCUCAAUUCUCUCGUCUACAUUUGAAAUUGGGUUUCCACAUAAAAAUAUAUUUAUGUAUAUUCAAUCAAAUGUUUGAUUAGUUUUAAUCAA